rnacentral:rRNA from 1 species
AGCGGAGGGGACAAGUGUUAUUCUACUUGACUGGGCGUAAAGGGCACGUAGGCGGCUUUUUGAAUGUUGAGUUAAAGUAGUGUUUUCUAAUUCUCAAUUCUAUUGUUUAGCUAGAGUUUAACCGAGGAUAACGGUAUUUUCAAAGUAGAGGUAAAAUUCGGCGAUAUUGAAAAGACCAUCAUUAGACGAAGGCAGUUAUCCAAGUUAAACUGACGCUGAGGUGCAAAAGCAUGGGGAGAAAACAGG